CGGUAAUGCACCAAAAGCUGGUUGACUACUGUCAGCCAACAAAGAAAGAAGAACUUUCGUAGAUUCACAGUGGUUCGCUGGUCUGUCCUAUUUUUAAAAUUAAAUAAAAGAUUGAAGUAAUUGAGUCAUCUACGAAUAGAGCCACGGGCGUUGUCGUAAAUUUUUCUGCUUAACGCGAAGGAUGCCAAAAUUGUUUACAUUCUGGACAGAUGUGUCUGCAAGCGGAAUGUAUCACUGUUGCCGUCACAGAACUUUCGACACAAGCCAUGCUGGAAACGCUGUCCUAAAAUCUCUUGCCGUGAAGAAUGCUUGGCAUGCUAUCGUAUGAAGCGUGUUGCCACGGCGGCAGAAUUAUAUGGACAAAUCGCAUUUUGGGAUUAAAAGUUAGGCUAUAUGUUGUCACUGUAUUUUGAUCAAAGCCAUCAUACAUCAAAAAAACAAAACAAAACAAAAAAAAAACUCGUCAAUAACCGGUCAGUUUAUAAUGCCAUCAUAGCGUGGAGCGUUUAAAAAUAAUGCACCCCUUCCCAAAAUAAAUAAAACUGUAGGCUACACUGCAAGUUAAAAUGCAAAAAGUAAGGUAGUGGCUUACUACCAGUAGUUUAAUGUAAAUUUCUGUAUUUUGUACUUAUUGCAUUAUGAUGGGUUAUUUGGCAUGUUUCGUAAUGUUGAAGGGUUUUAAUCCCCCGCCCUAAAAUGACGCCCUUGCAAGGCCAAGUACUUUGUCUCUACGCUAUUUAGCUUAUUUUUAAACUUCCCUAACUAGCAGUUAAUUCCAAUGACUUACUUUGAUCAGGUGUGGAAGUAACAAAAAUAAAUGAAUUAAACAUGGAAUCGAUUAAAUUAAAUGUUGAAUCAAAUAAAAAGCAAACAAACAUUGCAAUAACAAAAAUUAUUAAAUUAAUUGCAGUGUAACAUAGUGGGUAAGGAACUGGGCUUGUAACCGAAAGGUCAUAGGUUCGACUCCUGGGUAGGACACUCCCGUUGUACCCUUGAGCAAGGUAAUUAACCUGCAUUGCUUCAUUAUAUAUCCAGCUGUAUAAAUGGAUGUAUUGUAAAUGCUAUGUAAAAAAAGAUGUGAAAGUCGCUCUGGAUAAGAGAGUCUGCUAAAUGCCUGUAAUAUAAAUGCUAUAUAGAUUAAAUAGCAAUUAAAAUAAAUAUUGCAUCAAAUACAAUGUUUAAUUUAAUAGCAUUUUAUUUGAUGCAAUAUUUAAUUUGCUUGCAGUUUAAUAAAUGUGAUGCACUGCACUGUU